UGCGGAAUGGUGUAACGGUAGCACGUGUGACUCUGGAUCAUAAGGUCUAGGUUCGAAUCCUAGUUCCGCAGCCA
rnacentral:tRNA from 1 species